rnacentral:rRNA from 1 species
UACGUAGGGUGCAAGCGUUAAUCGGAAUUACUGGGCGUAAAGCGCACGUAGGCGGCUUUGCAAGACAGAUGUGAAAUCCCCGGGCUCAACCUGGGAACUGCAUUUGUGACUGCAAGGCUAGAGUACGGCAGAGGGGGAUGGAAUUCCGCGUGUAGCAGUGAAAUGCGUAGAUAUGCGGAGGAACACCGAUGGCGAAGGCAAUCCCCUGGGCCUGCACUGACGCUCAUGCACGAAAGCGUGGGGAGCAAACAGG